rnacentral:rRNA from 1 species
GAGUGGCGAACGGGUGAGUAACACGUGGGUAACCUGCCCAUCAAAGUGGAUAACACUUGGAAACAGGUGCUAAUACCGUAUAACAAUCRAAACCGCAUGGUUUUGAUUUGAAAGGCGCUUUCGGGUGUCGCUGAUGGAUGGACCCGCGGUGCAUUAGCUAGUUGGUGAGGUAACGGCUCACCAAGGCCACGAUGCAUAGCCGACCUGAGAGGGUGAUCGGCCACAUUGGGACUGAGACACGGCCCAAACUCCUACGGGAGGCAGCAGUAGGGAAUCUUCGGCAAUGGACGAAAGUCUGACCGAGCAACGCCGCGUGAGUGAAGAAGGUUUUCGGAUCGUAAAACUCUGUUGUUAGAGAAGAACAAGGAUGAGAGUAACUGUUCAUCCCUUGACGGUAUCUAACCAGAAAGCCACGGCUAACUACGUGCCAGCAGCCGCGGUAAUACGUAGGUGGCAAGCGUUGUCCGGAUUUAUUGGGCGUAAAGCGAGCGCAGGCGGUUUCUUAAGUCUGAUGUGAAAGCCCCCGGCUCAACCGGGGAGGGUCAUUGGAAACUGGGAGACUUGAGUGCAGAAGAGGAGAGUGGAAUUCCAUGUGUAGCGGUGAAAUGCGUAGAUAUAUGGAGGAACACCAGUGGCGAAGGCGGCUCUCUGGUCUGUAACUGACGCUGAGGCUCGAAAGCGUGGGGAGCAAACAGGAUUAGAUACCCUGGUAGUCCACGCCGUAAACGAUGAGUGCUAAGUGUUGGGAGGGUUUCCGCCCUUCAGUGCUGCAGCUAACGCAUUAAGCACUCCGCCCUGGGGAGUACGACCGCAAGGUUGAACUCAAGGA